UCUGGAACUUCCUGUAAACCCGGAAAUGUCUUGUUUUGAAAGGGUUGUAGCUCAAACGGUUUAAAGUGUAUUUCACGGAGCUAAAAUGCGUCAUAAGACGCAAUAAAAAGCACAGAACCAGCCUUAGCACCAGUCGAAACAGGCAUCAAGAAAGCCGUGCACGUGCAGCAGAUGAGACUUUGUGGAAAAAUGAGUGGAGCAGUGAGACGUGGUUCUCCAGUGGAAGUCAUGGAUCAGCAGGAGCAGCCAUCUUAAAAGCUCCAUUUAAAGCGUGACCUUCCAUCUCCACACACAACUAUUCUCCUGACUGGUCAAGACUGGAAAAUGUCCUUCUUCACCAAAAGAGCUCCAAACGUUGUGAAAGCAGACGAUGUUGAGGAAGGGAUCAUCUCUGCCUUCUGCACUGACUUUGUCUUCAAGCUGGCAAACCCGAGACACCUGAAGACACACUGACGUUCCUCCAGAGGUGCAUGGUGGUGACCAACCUCUGCCAAGAACUGUUAACAGGACCAUAAAUCUUCUUUAUUCACUCCAUUAUGCCGCAUACCUAGCAGUGCUUCUAAUGCUCCAGGAGAGAAUCUACCUUAAAUUAAUUCAGCACAAAGGACUUUAUAGAAUUUAUUAUUAUUGUUUUAUGGUAUAAAGUUAGAGGAAGAAAAACUGUAGAACAGAUGAUGAUGUUUGUUGUGAUUUCAUCUUUCAUUCUGUUGCAUGUUUGUGUGUGAAUGACGCCUAACAAAGCUUCUUUAUUUUCAUCACUGGCUGAAAUAAAUGAAACUAAUGACAAUAAAACCACCAAUAGAUGGAGGCCUGAGAAACGUAGGAAAGACCAGAACUGUUAGUUCCACAUGUGUCUGAUCAUCCAGUGUGUAACAGCAACGAGCAACGCAAAGCAACAUGUUUAGUUUUUUCUAGAAGUUUCUUUGUAACAUGCUCCAUCAUACAAGUACAACACGCAUGUAAGCUGAGCCCCGUCCAGACUGUGAAGUAUAAGUGUAA